rnacentral:rRNA from 1 species
ACGGCAGCACGGGAGCAAUCCUGGUGGCGAGUGGCGAACGGGUGAGUAAUACAUCGGAACGUGUCCUGUAGUGGGGGAUAGCCCGGCGAAAGCCGGAUUAAUACCGCAUACGCUCUACGGAGGAAAGGGGGGGAUCUUAGGACCUCUCGCUACAGGGGCGGCCGAUGGCAGAUUAGCUAGUUGGUGGGGUAAAGGCCUACCAAGGCGACGAUCUGUAGCUGGUCUGAGAGGACGACCAGCCACACUGGGACUGAGACACGGCCCAGACUCCUACGGGAGGCAGCAGUGGGGAAUUUUGGACAAUGGGGGCAACCCUGAUCCAGCAAUGCCGCGUGUGUGAAGAAGGCCUUCGGGUUGUAAAGCACUUUUGUCCGGAAAGAAAACUUCGGCCCUAAUACGGCGGGAGGAUGACGGUACCGGAAGAAUAAGCACCGGCUAACUACGUGCCAGCAGCCGCGGUAAUACGUAGGGUGCAAGCGUUAAUCGGAAUUACUGGGCGUAAAGCGUGCGCAGGCGGUUCGCUAAGACAGAUGUGAAAUCCCCGGGCUUAACCUGGGAACUGCAUUUGUGACUGGCGGGCUAGAGUAUGGCAGAGGGGGGUAGAAUUCCACGUGUAGCAGUGA